AAACCAACUGGGAUUGCCUUAGUAACGGCGAGUGAAGCGGCAAAAGCUCAAAUUUGAAAUCUAGUGCCUUCGGUACUCGAGUUGUAAUUUGAAGAAUUUAUCUCCUUUCCAAACCUUUAUCUAUGUUCCUUGGAACAGGACGUCAUAGAGGGUGAGAAUCCCGUGUGAUUUUGGAUUUGGAAUUUUGUGAGAUUUAUUCGAAGAGUCGAGUUGUUUGGGAAUGCAGCUCUAAGUGGGUGGUAAGUUCCAUCUAAAGCUAAAUAUUGGCAAGAGACCGAUAGCGAACAAGUACAGUGAUGGAAAGAUGAAAAGAACUCUGAAGAGAGGGUGAAAAAGUACGUGAAAUUGCUGAAAGGGAAGGGCUUUAGGUCAGACUUGGUGUUUAAUACUCAGUUCUCCUUGUGGGAGCUGCUCUUGUUUUUCACUGGGCCAAUAUCAGUUUUGACGAUAGAGCACCUCUGGAAAUGUGGCUAUCUUCGGAUAGUGUUAUAGUCUGGAGACGAUCUAUUGUUGGGACUGAGGUCUGCGCUUUUGCUAGGAUAUUGGCAUAAUGACCUUAAGCCGC
rnacentral:rRNA from 2 species